GUUUUAUUUAGAAAUGUGUUUCAUUUUGAAAUGAGUUUUAUUUUUUGUAAAGUAUCCGGCUGCACUGUGGUCUUCCUGUAUGUAAUUACCUGCCUGGCUUGACACAUACGCUCACGUGUCACGCAAGAAAUAGAGGUGACGGAGCAAUGAUCGCAGCCUGUCCGCUGCACGCCCAGUAUGAACAGACAGAUUGGAAAA